UACGUAGGGUGCGAGCGUUAAUCGGAAUUACUGGGCGUAAAGCGUGCGCAGGCGGUUUUGUAAGCCAGAUGUGAAAGCCCCGGGCUUAACCUGGGAAUUGCGGUUGAAACUACAGGGCUAGAAUCUGGCAGAGGGGGGUGGAAUUCCACGUGUAGCAGUGAAAUGCGUAGAGAUGUGGAGGAACACCGAUGGCGAAGGCAGCCCCCUGGGCUGAGAUUGACGCUCAGGCACGAAAGCGUGGGGAGCAAACAGG
rnacentral:rRNA from 1 species